AAUGGGUCAGCGACUUAUAUUCUGUAGCAAGGUUAACCGAAUAGGGGAGCCGAAGGGAAACCGAGUCUUAACUGGGCGUUAAGUUGCAGGGUAUAGACCCGAAACCCGGUGAUCUAGCCAUGGGCAGGUUGAAGGUUGGGUAACACUAACUGGAGGACCGAACCGACUAAUGUUGAAAAAUUAGCGGAUGACUUGUGGCUGGGGGUGAAAGGCCAAUCAAACCGGGAGAUAGCUGGUUCUCCCCGAAAGCUAUUUAGGUAGCGCCUCGUGAAUUCAUCUCCGGGGGUAGAGCACUGUUUCGGCAAGGGGGUCAUCCCGACUUACCAACCCGAUGCAAACUGCGAAUACCGGAGAAUGUUAUCACGGGAGACACACGGCGGGUGCUAACGUCCGUCGUGAAGAGGGAAACAACCCAGACCGCCAGCUAAGGUCCCAAAGUCAUGGUUAAGUGGGAAACGAUGUGGGAAGGCCCAGACAGCCAGGAUGUUGGCUUAGAAGCAGCCAUCAUUUAAAGAAAGCGUAAUAGCUCACUGGUCGAGUCGGCCUGCGCGGAAGAUGUAACGGGGCUAAACCAUGCACCGAAGCUGCGGCAGCGACACUAAGUGUUGUUGGGUAGGGGAGCGUUCUGUAAGCCUGUGAAGGUGUACUGUGAGGUAUGCUGGAGGUAUCAGAAGUGCGAAUGCUGACAUAAGUAACGAUAAAGCGGGUGAAAAGCCCGCUCGCCGGAAGACCAAGGGUUCCUGUCCAACGUUAAUCGGGGCAGGGUGAGUCGACCCCUAAGGCGAGGCCGAAAGGCGUAGUCGAUGGGAAACAGGUUAAUAUUCCUGUACUUGGUGUUACUGCGAAGGGGGGACGGAGAAGGCUAUGUUGGCCGGGCGACGGUUGUCCCGGUUUAAGCGUGUAGGCUGGUUUUCCAGGCAAAUCCGGAAAAUCAAGGCUGAGGCGUGAUGACGAGGCACUACGGUGCUGAAGCAACAAAUGCCCUGCUUCCAGGAAAAGCCUCUAAGCAUCAGGUAACAUCAAAUCGUACCCCAAACCGACACAGGUGGUCAGGUAGAGAAUACCAAGGCGCUUGAGAGAACUCGGGUGAAGGAACUAGGCAAAAUGGUGCCGUAACUUCGGGAGAAGGCACGCUGAUAUGUAGGUGAAGCGACUUGCUCGUGGAGCUGAAAUCAGUCGAAGAUACCAGCUGGCUGCAACUGUUUAUUAAAAACACAGCACUGUGCAAACACGAAAGUGGACGUAUACGGUGUGACGCCUGCCCGGUGCCGGAAGGUUAAUUGAUGGGGUUAGCGGUAACGCGAAGCUCUUGAUCGAAGCCCCGGUAAACGGCGGCCGUAACUAUAACGGUCCUAAGGUAGCGAAAUUCCUUGUCGGGUAAGUUCCGACCUGCACGAAUGGCGUAAUGAUGGCCAGGCUGUCUCCACCCGAGACUCAGUGAAAUUGAACUCGCUGUGAAGAUGCAGUGUACCCGCGGCAAGACGGAAAGACCCCGUGAACCUUUACUAUAGCUUGACACUGAACAUUGAGCCUUGAUGUGUAGGAUAGGUGGGAGGCUUUGAAGUGUGGACGCCAGUCUGCAUGGAGCCGACCUUGAAAUACCACCCUUUAAUGUUUGAUGUUCUAACGUUGGCCCCUGAUCGGGGUUGCGGACAGUGUCUGGUGGGUAGUUUGACUGGGGCGGUCUCCUCCUAAAGAGUAACGGAGGAGCACGAAGGUUGGCUAAUCCUGGUCGGACAUCAGGAGGUUAGUGCAAUGGCAUAAGCCAGCUUGACUGCGAGCGUGACGGCGCGAGCAGGUGCGAAAGCAGGUCAUAGUGAUCCGGUGGUUCUGAAUGGAAGGGCCAUCGCUCAACGGAUAAAAGGUACUCCGGGGAUAACAGGCUGAUACCGCCCAAGAGUUCAUAUCGACGGCGGUGUUUGGCACCUCGAUGUCGGCUCAUCACAUCCUGGGGCUGAAGUAGGUCCCAAGGGUAUGGCUGUUCGCCAUUUAAAGUGGUACGCGAGCUGGGUUUAGAACGUCGUGAGACAGUUCGGUCCCUAUCUGCCGUGGGCGCUGGAGAACUGAGGGGGGCUGCUCCUAGUACGAGAGGACCGGAGUGGACGCAUCACUGGUGUUCGGGUUGUCAUGCCAAUGGCACUGCCCGGUAGCUAAAUGCGGAAGAGAUAAGUGCUGAAAGCAUCUAAGCACGAAACUUGC
rnacentral:rRNA from 1 species